UACGUAGGGUGCGAGCGUUAAUCGGAAUUACUGGGCGUAAAGCGUGCGCAGGCGGUUUGUCAAGUCGGAUGUGAAAUCCCCGGGCUUAACCUGGGAAUUGCGUUCGAAACUAGCAGGCUAGAGUGCGGCAGAGGGGGGUAGAGUUCCACGUGUAGCAGUGAAAUGCGUAGAGAUGUGGAGGAAUACCGAUGGCGAAGGCAGCUCCCUGGGUCGACACUGACGCUCAUGCACGAAAGCGUGGGGAGCAAACAGG
rnacentral:rRNA from 1 species